ensembl:snoRNA SNORD14 Small nucleolar RNA SNORD14
UCGCUGUGAUGACUGAUUCCACAACCAUUCGUAGUUUCCACCAGAAAUCUUUGUGUUGGCAACUCCUUCCUUGGAUGUCUGAGCGA